rnacentral:lncRNA from 1 species
UAAAACAACAGGAUCGCAUCCAGGUUACAGUAUUGAAAUUAGAAUCCACCACUAAUUAUUACACCACAUCUCUUACCAAAUCAGAUCAUCUUCGAUAAGAAGAAUCACUGCCAAUUUGUUCCAGCUAUGAAUUACAUCUGAAUCUCAAUAGCUCAACUCUAGCUAGCACCAACUUUAUAAAUCUUCCUGAAUACUCCUUGACCACUGAAUCCUCAACUCUGAAUCCUCGCCUAGCCUUAGCCUUACUCGCAAUCAUAGUCUAGCCAUUCAUCUUUAAUCCUUUCUGAAAUGGUUAAAAGAGAAUAGCAAGAGUGAGCAACAAUGCUCAGCAAGUAAUAAUAACAAUGAAAGUUCUGAAGUGAUAUAACAGAAAUUCUCGAGUUCAAGAUAUAAAAAGAUUCAACCUGAGUUCACAAAUUCAGGUAUUGUAUAAAAGAAUCACAAUACCUUGCAGCAAUAGAAACCUGAGGAAUUCAAUCCUUCACAAGAGAAUUAUUGAAUUGGACUAUCACAUUUUAAUUAAAAACCAAGGUUAGGAUGCUGAUCAGUCAUACCUAACCCCGAGCAGGCCCCGCCAUGCUCUAUCACUGGAUCCAAGGCACUCAUUGGCCUAACAUGACCACGAAUCUGGUCCACAGGUUUAUAUAAAAACAAUAAUCCAAUUCUCUAAUUCAAUUCAAGAAGCCAAUGUAAAUUAACAGAACAUCAUCAUAAAUAUCAUCAACAACAGAAUAAUUCCAAUUCAAACUUUGAUAAUACUCUAUUCAUAAAUUAUGAUCCAUCAUUUCAUAAAUCACAGUUCAGGAAAUCCUCAACUAUUCAGUAUCCUCCAUUAUCGGCUAAGCAACUGAAUUUAGCCUGCUAAACCAGCAUGACAAUGGCGGGUUGAAUAAUCAAGAAGAUCCCAAUUCAUUCAAAGCUCUAACUAUCACUGAGCAACACAUGCUUCAAUGACAAUCUGAACUUCGAAUUAAUUUGUAAAACGGAAAUUCUUUAGAAACUUGAAGAUUAGAAAGAAUGGGUCAUAAUACUCGUACUUUCGAACAUUGAAAAGAAAGGUAUGAAUACUUGAAACAUAUACCAAAGGAAUGGAUCAGAAUAUUUGCAAUAUAUCCAAGAGAAAGGUUUAGGAUACUUGCAACACAUGUAAAAGGAAUGAAUCAGAAUAUAUGCAAUAUAUCCAAAAGCAGGGUGCAGGAUACUUGCCUUAAAUCUGACUCCAGUCUCACAUCUCAAUCUCAUCUUUCCACUUUCACAAUCUAGGCAUAUCACAGUCUCUAGACCAUCUCUGGCUAUACUCUAUUCGCCACACUGCCUCGCUUACUCGAUUCAUUCUUUAUUCUCUUUGCAAUACCAUUCUGACUUUCUGAUGUCUUCAAGCGUACUCGUCACGUCCAAAUCCUUUACGAGAAUAAAAUAAUACUAUAAUCACUAAUCAAUUUAUCGCAUAUACAUAUCACGUAUAUAGAUACCCACUUAUAUACCCCUUUAAACCUAUCAAAUAUCACUUAGCACAUAAUCAUGCUUUGACUCUAAUAUAUAGUCAUAUCAUUCUCCACAUAGUAUGUCACAAUUCAAAACUCAUAUAAAUCAUAUCGAUAAUCUGACAGAGUCUCGUCUAUUUAUAAGACUAUCCACCUAUCAACCUAUUCUCAAUCAAUAACCAAUCAACCAAUUUCAAUUCCUAUAAUCCAUAUGUUCUUAUCCAAUAUCAGUUAAGUCAUGACACUAUGUCAUUCAAAUCAUUUAUCAUGUAUAUAAUAUCAAGAAUAAACAUAUAUAUCACGUAAUCAUCAAUUAAUAGCAAUCAAAUAACAUAUAAUCACAUUUUGCACAUUUAACAAAAAUUAUUCACAUUCUCGACUCCAUCAUAAUAUUAUGUCAUAUCAAACUAGACUUUAUAAGCUUCUGUCUCUCUUUCGUUUCACUUGAUUCCGACUUACGGAUCAAAAGUUAUGCUCAAAACCGUUUUCUCACUCUCCUAUCGGCACAUAACACAUCCAACCAAUAGCAGACAACACACAACACAUAAGGUUUCCCAUCCCAAUUGAUAUUAAAUCAAGUCUUGGGUUAAAAAUGAUUUUUCGGGAAUUUUCCAGAAUUUUUAAACAUUUUUCGGAAUUAAAAUCGAUAAAAGAAUCACUUUUCGAAUAAAUAAUCAAGUCCCAAAUACUUGAAAUUGGACUUGAAAUCAUUCAUAAACAAUAGUAGAGCCUUGAAAAUAAUUUGGAAAAAUAUUUUAAAGCUCGAAACUAUUUUUCGGAAUUUUUAAAUCAAAAAGGAUUAAUUAAAUCCAAUUAAUUAAUCAAUUAAAAUCAAUUAAUAAUUAAUUAAAAUAAUUAAUCAAUUAAUAUUUAAAUUAAUUGACCAAUUAAAAUAAUUAAUUACUAAUUAAAAUUAAUUAAUAAACUAAUUUAGAUUUAUUUUUGAAUAAAGAAAUAAUUAAAAAUCUUUUUUGAAAUUAAAGAAAAUAAGUAUAAAAACAAUUUUUAAAAGAUUUAAAAAAUAAAGGGUUUAAUCUGCUAGUUUUGGAAACUUCUAGCAGGGUUUUAUUUGCAAAACCAGAAACUUUGGGGGUUGAUUUGUAAAACUGCAGUAGAUGGGUGAUGAAAUUGAAAUUUCACCACCAUCUCUCCCAGUUGCCGCCGGCAGCCAUGGCUGCCGCCUUGGAGCUCGCCGGCGGUGACUCCCUCUGCCCAGAACACACCCAAAUUCACACCACAGCAACACUACACCACCAGGAACUCGAAUAUACUAACCAAUUAGACCGAAGAUCCAUAAAUCGGCCGGAAAACCAAGUCAAAGGUUCGUCUCCGGCGAACCUUAUAACUUCCGAUCAACUCGAAAACAAACUCCUCCACCCUCAGUGAUCACAUACGAACGCUCCUCACAACCAUACAAACACAGUGGUAACCUCUGAUUUUGCCCAGAAUCAACGAUUUGUAAGCCCCCAAUUUUCAAUUGAAAAUGUUCAAGAACACUCAAGAACAUGAAGAACAGUUAUUUCAAAGAUCAAUCCCAUGUUUCUAUGUGUUUCUGAAGUCCAAAUUCGACAUAUAAUAUACCGAAACGACGAGAAAAACACGUUCUACAACAUAGAAGCAUCAAAACAAUCAAACAAGAUCGUUUACAAAAAUUCAUCUUUAAAAUUAUAAUAAUUCGAAUUUUCAAAAAUUAAUAAGAAAUUACCCGUGAAAUCUGCACGGUUAUGAUUGAUUAAACUGGAUUCUACACGUCGAUAGCUUCGUUUUGACUAUUCAUACGCCUCCAUCGGAUUCCAAUAACACCUCCAAAUCCUCGUUUGAUUACGAAGAACACGAAGAACACACUUCGGUUUCUCUCGGUAUUCGUGCAGAGAAACUGGUGAAAUGAUUUUACGGUUGAAAAUCAGCUAUAGAAAAGUCUAUUUAUAUUUACAAAUAAUUGGUACCCCUUUGGAUCGUUUAUGACAUGAAAAUACGUAUUUAAUAGCUUUAUAUUAAUAAAGCGGGGUCCAAUCGGUACCGGUUUUCGAGAUAAUCAUCAAAACGGGGC